AUCCAGCUGACGAGUCCCGAAUAGGACGAAAUGCGCGUCCUAGAU
rnacentral:hammerhead_ribozyme from 1 species